rnacentral:lncRNA from 1 species
GCUGUUUUUGACAUAUACUUCAUAUCUCCAUAGUAAACUAAAUCCCUUUCAAUGUAAUUCGAACAAUAACAAUUUUACGGGUUUACAUGUAUAAAUAAGAGUGAAUAAUGAGACUUGUUUGUUGUCAGACAUUUUAGACUGCGAAUUUGAUUGAAGAUAGUCAGGAUAUACUUGUUAACCCUUUCCUCCAUAAUGACGUUUUUUGACGCCACCCCCUUUACUCCAUAAUGACGACUUUUGACGCCUGUGUAGUACCUCAGUUGAAACGCUUAGACUACGAAAUGUCUGCAUUGGACUUAAAAAAAUUAGCAUCCAAUAUGAAAAGGAUAUUCAUAAGAAUAUCUGAUUUGAAUUUCAUUGAUGAAAUAUUCAUUUUCACAAUGCAUUAAUACUUUAAACCCGAUGAUUUUUUUUUUAUUAAAAAAAUCCUAUGCAAAUCAAGUAUGUAAGAAAAUAAAUUCCACGGAGGAAAGGGUUAACCAAUCAUUGUGUCACAACUUCAUUCAAUGAAAGUAUAUUUAUGUCUUGAAUAUAAUUUAAUAUUCAUUUGUAAUGUAUCAAAAUAUAUAACAAAAUUAUCAUGAUUAUUAAAUUUGUACAGUAAUUUGAAACUUGUCAUAAAUCUGAUUGGUCAUAUAAAAACUAUGUCUAAAAGUUACUACUUUAUUUGUUUGAAGCAUCUGUUAUUGUUAUAGAAUUUUGGGAUUGCAUUAAGUUUCGGGCUGAUAUGGGGGUGUCAGGAUGAUACCCAGGCCGAUAAGGAAAAGUCCAUGCAUUAGUCUCAAUGUAUUGCCUCUCACUAAUUAAGUUAAUAUAGUUAUAUUAUUUAUAUUGUUCCGCUAUGAGUGCAAUCAAAACUAUUAUUUCUUUCCUUUACAAAGAAGGGUUGGUAUACUGGUUUACCUCUGUCCAUGUUUCCAUAUCAAUUUUGAUAUGACACCAUUUUGAGUUGUCGCAUGUUUGCUAUUUGAAUGAUGAUUCAUAUCAUAUCAUACAUUUCUAAACAUUCUGAUAAAUCAAAUUCUGUAACUUAACAGAAACAAAAAAAACAUUUUGCACAUCUGAGAGGUAUGUAGCUCCAACAUCUCUGCCAUUCCAAAACUAUCAGCUCUCAGCAUUCUUAUUAGGAUUAGUGUAAAAUAGUUCUUUGACUGCAGAAAACUGUAUAAUCUUGAUUCUUCUUUUUUAUUAUUAGAUAUAUGUAUGAUCUCAUUUGCUAUUGUAAGAUAAAUAAUUUCUGUAAAUAAUUAAAAUGUGUGCUUUUGUGAAUAGCGUUAAAGGGCAUAUUAACAAAGCAAUGUCUUUCUAGGACUAUUUUCAGUGGACUUGACAUACUGUUAGCAUAUUUUCAUAGAUAAUUUUUAUUUACCAGUCAAAAUUUUGACGGGACGUAUUAUGGUAUAUAAAUGUCCAGCAUCCGUCUGUCCGUCUAUCAGUCUGUCUGUCCCAUGUAAACAUGUCGUACCUUAAAUUGAGAACGACUUAUCCAAAUUUCAUGAAACUUAACAUAGUUGUUUCUUAUGAUGGUCAAACGAUCUGUAUACUUUUUGGUGGAAAUUAGAAUAAAACUUUUUGAGUUACGGGACUUUGUAACUAAAACCAGGGUGUGUUUUUUUUCAAAUGACAUGUCACACCGUAUCUCAAAAACAAUUUAUGAUUAUUGCUUAAAACUUUACACACUUCUUACUUAGAUUAAUCUUAAAAUCUGUAUACUUUUUGGUGAUGAUUCUAAAUUUUAUUGUAAAGUUAUUGAGUUUUUUUGUAAAAAAAGGGGGGGGGGGGGAGUUUCACAUGUCACACUGUAUCUCAGAAACUGUUCAUGAUUAUUGCAUAAACUUCAAACACAAGAAGACGUAUCAUGCGCUCAUGGUGCAGCUGUUUAUUUAAUUGUUUAGUCCUUUUGAUCUAAUUUCUUAAAGAUAUGUUUUAACUAAUUUUGACAAGUACAUGACUAUUUGAAUUUAUGUCUUUUUUCUUCUCGCAACACUCACUUAAACAAGUUUUUAUAGUAUUUCAGAAAUCCAGAGAAAUAUUCUUUGAAAAUAAACAUAACUUAUUCUAUGCCUCAUAAAUGUAAAACUACUUGACAAUGAAUAUUUCGUUCUAUGAAAAACAACAAAUUAUCUGCAC